CGGACGGGUGAGUAACGCGUGAACAAUCUGCCCGAAGGAAGGGGAUAGCCCAUGGAAACGUGGAUUAAUACCCUGUGUGAUUGUUGGGAGGCAUCUUCUGACAAUGAAAGGCGCUUUACGGUGCCGCCUUCGGAUGAGUUCGCGGCCUAUCAGCUAGUUGGCGGGGUAAUGGCCCACCAAGGCUACGACGGGUAGCUGGUCUGAGAGGAUGACCAGCCACACUGGAACUGAGACACGGUCCAGACACCUACGGGUGGCAGCAGUCGAGAAUCAUUCACAAUGGGCGAAAGCCUGAUGGUGUGACGCCGCGUGGAGGAUUAAGGUCUUCGGAUUGUAAACUCCUGUCAAGUGAGAGUAAAUUUGCGCGUUAACUGCGUCGCAAACUGAGAGUAUCACUAGAGGAAGAGACGGCUAACUCUGUGCCAGCAGCCGCGGUAAUACAGAGGUCUCAAGCGUUGUUCGGAAUCACUGGGCGUAAAGGGUGCGUAGGCUGUGUUGUAAGUCAGAGGUGAAAUCCCGGGGCUCAACCCCGGAACUGCCUCCGAUACUGCAAGACUUGAGGACUGGAGAGGAGAUUGGAAUUCAUGGUGGAGCAGUGAAAUGCGUAGAUAUCAUGAGGAACGCUAGUGGCGUAGGCGAAUCUCUGGACAGUUCCUGACGCUGAGGCACGAAGGCUAGGGGAGCAAAAGGGAUUAGAUACCCCAGUAGUC
rnacentral:rRNA from 1 species